AAUAUUCAACAAAAUGAAUGAUGGGAAGUAAGGGUCCUCAGUGCCACUUAGAAAAAUGUUUCCCGUGUGGGAGAGUUAUCCUGCAGGAGGUUUGGAAGGGUUAGUAAGUAGGAAGAUAUGGGUUACCUUUCUAUGGUUGACAUUUGAAGAUAUCAGUAAUUGGAUAGCUUCAAGAAGAAACAAUCUUUCAAAGGCAAAAAUAUUCCCUUCCAUGCUCGCCUACACUGCUGGCUGGUCCAGACCUUUUGUAAAUCAUCAUAAGGGUCCUUAGUAACCUUAAGCUUUUUUCCUAGUAUCUAAAAUUAUGAAACAAGAUAUAAUAAUAAGCUGCAGAUUUGUUUUAAUAUCUAGUUUAUUUAUAAAAAAAUAAAACUGAUAGCUACGCAUGUAUAUUGUUAACUUUUUAAAUUGAAAAUAGUUUUCUGAUAACAAUUUCCCCUCCCUCAUCUUUUCCUAGGUCUUCCCCACUCCUCUACCCUUCCAGCUAUCUAACUCUACACCUUCUUUCUCUCUUUAAAAAACAAACAGGCCAAUAAUAAUUUCUAAAAAAUAGAAAGAACAAAGGAACCAAAAUAAAACCACCAACAAACAGAACAAACAAAAAGUAGGAAAAACACAAAACAUAUGCACACACAAAUUAAAUACAGAAAAACCAUUUAAACACAAAAUUGGGAACAAAAGGUUAAAAAUGCCCAAACAAAGCAUUAUGGGACAAAAAAAAAUCACCAAAAAUACCAUUGAGUUUGUUUUGUGUUGCUCAUCUAUUGCCGAAUAAAAGGUUUGUUCUUAAAUGUGCUUUGUAUACCCUGCAGAGAUUCCAUUGGAGAAACGUUUUUCUUUGUGAGAAGUUGUUAAGUUCAGAUAGCUUUUUGGUUAGGGAUGGGGGCUCAUGUCCACUUUUACUCUCAGUGCUGGAACCUCAUCUGGCUUGGACCUGGCCAGGUCCCAGGAAUGCUGCCAGUUUCUGUGAGUUCAUACAUGUGUCAGUUCAGUUGUGUCUAGAAAGCACUGUUUCCUUGAUGUCUUCAUCUCCUCUGGUUCUUACACUCUUUUCUUCCUCUUUGACCUAACUCCCUGAACCCUGAGGGAAGGAGUUUGAUGAAGUCAUCCCAUUUAGGACUUAGUGUUCCAAGGUUUCUUACUCUCUGCAUAAUAAUUUCCAUCUCCUGUAGGAGGAAGCUUCUCUGAUUAUAACUGAGUGAGACCCUAACCUAUGAAUAUAGCCCAAUGUCAUUAAAAGUCAUUUUAUUGCUAUGUCCCUUUGGUAGAACAAUAGUAGUUGGUUUUUCCCUAGGUCUAUGACCUAUCCCAGGUUCUUGGCCACUCCAGCAAGGUCAGGCAUGGGUUCCAUCUCAUAAUCAGUUAGUGGUUGGUUACUCCUACAACUUUUGUACCACUGUUGAACCAGCAUAUCUUGCAGGCAGAUGACCAUUGUAGAAUGAAUAGUUUGCAAUUGGGUUAGUGUACUGCAGAAUACACCCUCCUGUUCCAUGAACACUAGUCAGUGGGGGGAAAGGCUCUAGUUAAGCAACAGCAUGGCUUCUCCAUGUUCAGUGAGAUUUGUAGGUGUUGUCUUCAGCAAAAGGGCCUUACCAUCAGUUUGUAGAGAGCAAACAGUAGCUUUGACAAGAUCCCGAGUUGCUUAGAGGUUCUUGUGGGACCCCUUUGACCAGCAGCUCAAUUAGAUGUAACCUGUUCCUGGCACUGUAAGUUUUGCUUGAUGAUAACAGAUGUCUUCUUGUGGCUUUAUAUCCCCCUGUUACUUGAUCCUGUUUAACUUAUUUAAUAAGUGUAUAUAGUUUAAGAAGCUUCUACUCCCAUGGGUUUCCAUAAGACCCCUCAAAUAACUGUGAGUGAUACCUGUCUAUCCUUACCCUCCUCUUUUCCUUCCCAUUUCCAUUUAAUUUUAUAGGCCUCUAUUUCAAGUUUCAAUAUUUUCCCUCUACUCUUUAUUUUAUACUUUUACUAUAAGAGUUUUGCUAAGGAACUAUAUAGUGGCAUUGAUUGGGCUAUGCCUAUAUUUAGUUUUAUC
rnacentral:lncRNA from 1 species